GACGAACGCUGGCGGCGUGCCUAAUACAUGCAAGUAGGACGCACAGUUUAUACCGUAGCUUGCUACACCAUAGACUGUGAGUUGCGAACGGGUGAGUAACGCGUAGGUAACCUGCCUAUUAGAGGGGGAUAACUAUUGGAAACGAUAGCUAAUACCGCAUAACAGUAUGUAACACAUGUUAGAUGCUUGAAAGAUGCAAUUGCAUCGCUAGUAGAUGGACCUGCGUUGUAUUAGCUAGUAGGUAGGGUAAUGGCCUACCUAGGCGACGAUACAUAGCCGACCUGAGAGGGUGAUCGGCCACACUGGGACUGAGACACGGCCCAGACUCCUACGGGAGGCAGCAGUAGGGAAUCUUCGGCAAUGGGGGGAACCCUGACCGAGCAACGCCGCGUGAGUGAAGAAGGUUUUCGGAUCGUAAAGCUCUGUUGUUAAGGAAGAACGAGUGUGAAAAUGGAAAGUUCAUACUGUGACGGUACUUAACCAGAAAGGGACGGCUAACUACGUGCCAGCAGCCGCGGUAAUACGUAGGUCCCGAGCGUUGUCCGGAUUUAUUGGGCGUAAAGCGAGCGCAGGCGGUUAGAAAAGUCUGAAGUGAAAGGCAGUGGCUCAACCAUUGUAGGCUUUGGAAACUGUUUAGCUUGAGUGCAGAAGGGGAGAGUGGAAUUCCAUGUGUAGCGGUGAAAUGCGUAGAUAUAUGGAGGAACACCGGUGGCGAAAGCGGCUCUCUGGUCUGUAACUGACGCUGAGGCUCGAAAGCGUGGGGAGCGAACAGG
rnacentral:rRNA from 1 species